rnacentral:rRNA from 1 species
AUUGAACGCUGGCGGCAGGCCUAACACAUGCAAGUCGAACGGUAACAGGAAGCAGCUUGCUGCUUUGCUGACGAGUGGCGGACGGGUGAGUAAUGUCUGGGAAACUGCCCGAUGGAGGGGGAUAACUACUGGAAACGGUAGCUAAUACCGCAUAACGUCGCAAGACCAAAGAGGGGGACCUUAGGGCCUCUUGCCAUCGGAUGUGCCCAGAUGGGAUUAGCUAGUAGGUGGGGUAACGGCUCACCUAGGCGACGAUCCCUAGCUGGUCUGAGAGGAUGACCAGCCACACUGGAACUGAGACACGGUCCAGACUCCUACGGGAGGCAGCAGUGGGGAAUAUUGCACAAUGGGCGCAAGCCUGAUGCAGCCAUGCCGCGUGUAUGAAGAAGGCCUUCGGGUUGUAAAGUACUUUCAGCGGGGAGGAAGGGAGUAAAGUUAAUACCUUUGCUCAUUGACGUUACCCGCAGAAGAAGCACCGGCUAACUCCG